GAGGUGGCCCCGGAUGCUGCGGCGCCCGCUGGCCGGGCUGGCAGCGGCCGCCCUGGGCCGGGCCCCGCCGGACGGCUUGCUCUGCUCUUUACCUGGGGUUGCUGUCGAGGACCCUGUGCAAGACUCGGCCGGUUUUUCUUUCUCCCUGAUGGACAGACCCAAACAUAGCCGCGCAGCAUCGUGAAGGGCUGGGGCCUUCACGCGUCUGUGGCUGUGGAAGGGCCUGGUUUCCUCAGGAGGCAUGUCGGGCCCCAGGCCUGUGGUGCUGAGCGGGCCUUCGGGAGCUGGGAAGAGCACCCUGCUGAAGAGGCUGUUCCAGGAGCACAGCGGCAUCUUUGGCUUCAGCGUGUCCCAUACCACAAGGAACCCGAGGCCCGGCGAGGAGAACGGCAAAGGGAGGUGAUGCAGCGUGACAUAGCAGCCGGCGACUUCAUCGAGCAUGCCGAGUUCUCGGGGAACCUGUAUGGCACGAGCAAGGCGGCGGUGCAGGCCGUGCAGGCCAUGAACCGCAUCUGCGUGCUGGACGUGGACCUGCAGGGUGUGCGGAACAUCAAGGCCACCGAUCUGCGGCCCAUCUACAUCUCUGUGCAGCCGCCUUCACUGCAUGUGCUGGUGUGUGCUGGGCAGGGUUGGGGGCUGGGGGCCAGGGCAUGCCAGGCUCUGAUUGCCACCCCCUUUUUAGGAGCAGCGGCUGCGGCGGCGCAACACUGAAACGGAGGAGAGCCUGGCGAAGCGGCUGGCUGCUGCCCAGGCCGACAUGGAGAGCAGCAAGGAGCCUGGCCUGUUUGAUGUGGUCAUCGUUAAUGACAGCCUGGACCAGGCCUACGCAGAGCUGAAGGAGGCGCUCUCUGAGGAAAUCAAGAAAGCUCAAAGGACCGGCGCCUGAGGCUUGCUCUCUGUUCUCGGCACCCCGGGCCCAUACAGGACCAGGGCAGCAGCACUGAGCCGCCCCCUUGGCAGGCAAUAUGGCAGCUCUGUGCCCUUGGCCAGCAUGUGGAGUGGAGGGGAUGCUGCCCCUGUGGUUGGAACAUCCUGGGGUGACCCCCGACCCAGCCCCACCGGGCUGUCCCCUGUCCCUAUCUCUCACUCUGGACCCAGGGCUGACAUCUUAAUAAAAUAACUGUUGGAUUAGAAA
rnacentral:sRNA from 1 species